CAGUUCAUCCACUCUCAUCUCAUCUCUCAUCUCUCACUUUCUCUCCUCUCUUUCAUCAUUCUUCUCAUCUCCACUCUCUGCUAACUUCUCUCAAUACUAUCUCUGAUAUUCAAAAAUUACCAGCAUUUAUUUCAUAUACAAAUAUAUCAGCAAAUGUCUAUUUCAUAAGAUAUUUGCUUUCUCUAUUCUUCUCUGUCUCAUCAACCUCUCCAUUCUCCAGCAUAUUCUAUCAACAAAAGCUCUACUCUUCAUAAUCUUCUCUCACUUCUCCACAUUUCAAAGCAUUCACUUCUCUCACUCUAUAGACAUCAGUGGUAUAUUGAUCACUGCAGCAGGCAUCACAGACACUGCUGUCAUCAUCAGCAUCUUCACAAUCUUCUCUAUUAACUUCUCAGUCAAUUUCUCCUUCUCUAAACUCUCUUCAAUCAACAUCUUCAAAAUUCUCAUAUUCUUCUUCUUACUCUUCUUCUUAAUCUUCUUCUCUUUCUUCUUCUCAACAACAAUAAUCUUCUCUUUCUCUUUCACCUCUGUUCUGGAAAGAGCAGACACCACCACAGUCUUCAAAACCUGCAUUCUCACAGACUCAGCCACUGUCUGAUGCUGAGAUUAUAGAGCAUUCACUUCAGCUCUGUUCUGAGCAGACAGCACUGUCAGAUGAGAAGCAUUCAGUCAUUUUAUCAAACAACAAAGACAACUUUUGUAGCUAGCCAUGUUCUUUCUGACUGCCACCCCUAGACUGGCCGGUGGGACCAUGAAUUUCACAUUUGGUUUGGUUUGGUUUGGUCCCAGUCCAUUUCUUGGCAUUAUUUUAGUGGGACCAGGAUCAGAAUGGGAG
rnacentral:sRNA from 2 species